AGUGAACGCUGGCGGUAGGCCUAACACAUGCAAGUCGAACGGCAGCACAGUAAGAGCUUGCUCUUACGGGUGGCGAGUGGCGGACGGGUGAGGAAUACAUCGGAAUCUACUUUUUCGUGGGGGAUAACGUAGGGAAACUUACGCUAAUACCGCAUACGACCUACGGGUGAAAGCAGGGGAUCUUCGGACCUUGCGCGAUUGAAUGAGCCGAUGUCGGAUUAGCUAGUUGGCGGGGUAAAGGCCCACCAAGGCGACGAUCCGUAGCUGGUCUGAGAGGAUGAUCAGCCACACUGUAACUGAGACACGUUCCAGACUCCUACGGGAGGCAGCAGUGGGGAAUAUUGGACAAUGGGCGCAAGCCUGAUCCAGCCAUACCGCGUGGGUGAAGAAGGCCUUCGGGUUGUAAAGCCCUUUUGUUGGGAAAGAAAAGCAGCAGGUUAAUACCCCGCUGUUCUGACGGUACCCAAAGAAUAAGCACCGGCUAACUUCGUG
rnacentral:rRNA from 1 species